rnacentral:rRNA from 1 species
UGGGGAAUAUUGGGCAAUGGGCGAAAGCCUGACCCAGCAACGCCGCGUGAGGGAAGAAGGUCUUCGGAUUGUAAACCUCUGUCUUUGGGGACGAAAAAAAUGACGGUACCCAAGGAGGAAGCCCCGGCUAACUACGUGCCAGCAGCCGCGGUAAUACGUAGGGGGCGAGCGUUGUCCGGAAUUACUGGGCGUAAAGGGUGCGUAGGCGGUUUUUUAAGUCAGAUGUGAAAUCCCCGGGCUUAACUCGGGUGGUGCAUUUGAAACUGGAAGGCUAGAGUGCAGGAGAGGGAAGCGGAAUUCCUAGUGUAGCGGUGAAAUGCGUAGAUAUUAGGAGGAACACCAGUGGCGAAGGCGGCUUUCUGGACUGUAACUGACGCUGAGGCACGAAAGCGUGGGGAGCAAACA